AGGACGAACGCUGGCGGCGUGCUUCACACAUGCAAGUCGAGCGGGCGUAGCAAUACGUCAGCGGCAGACGGGUGAGUAACGCGUGGGAACAUACCUUUUGGUUCGGAACAACACAGGGAAACUUGUGCUAAUACCGGAUAAGCCCUUACGGGGAAAGAUUUAUCGCCGAAAGAUUGGCCCGCGUCUGAUUAGCUAGUUGGUGAGGUAAUGGCUCACCAAGGCGACGAUCAGUAGCUGGUCUGAGAGGAUGAUCAGCCACAUUGGGACUGAGACACGGCCCAAACUCCUACGGGAGGCAGCAGUGGGAAUAUUGGACAAUGGGCGCAAGCCUGAUCCAGCCAUGCCGCGUGAGUGAUGAAGGCCCUAGGGUUGUAAAGCUCUUUGUGCGGGAAGAUAAUGACGGUACCGCAAGAAUAAGCCCGGCUAACUUCGCGCCAGCAGCCGC
rnacentral:rRNA from 1 species